rnacentral:rRNA from 1 species
UACGUAGGGGGCAAGCGUUGUCCGGAAUCAUUGGGCGUAAAGCGCACGUAGGCGGACUCGUAGGUCAAUUGUGAAAUACCUGGGCUCAACCCAGGAACUGCAGUUGAAACCACUUGUCUUGAAUACCUGAGAGGGUGGGGGAAUACCUGGUGGAGAAGUGAAAUUCGUAGAGAUCAGGUGGAACACCGGAGGCGAAGGCGCCUGCCUGGCAGUGUAUUGACGCUGAGGUGCGAAAGUGCGGGGAGCAAACAGG